UAUGAGUGGUGUACAUUCUUCAUAAAGCUAGAUAACCGAAAGUAACAAGAAUCCCAUUGCGCUCCCGCAAGGCCUGUUUCUUGUGCCCGACAAACAAAACAAAAUGGCCGACGCCCGAGAGGAAGUGACUCAGCGUUUGUGCCCAGCCAACCGAUCAGAAGACUUAAAGGUGACCCAUCACAUUGAAGUUAUGAUGUCAAGGCCAGUCAUCUGACUCCGCCUCACUCUGAAGUCCACCACCUGCCGACGGCCACCCCACCUCACCAAUGUCCAUUUCCGAACAUAAUGGUGCCCACCUGACCUAAAUGGAACCGGAUUGACUCCUCUUGUUAAACCUGAAGCACUUUGUUGACAUUGAGGGAUCUCCCUUUAGUUUGGGUGAACUUUGGGCACAUGCCUGGCCUGAACAUGGGGUAAUGUACUGUUGAGUCAUGGAUACCAAUGGAUACUCAACUACAGCUGCUUCUGUGGGCCUAACCCCCAGACUGUCUUCUGAACGUCCGGAUAUACCAAUCAAAGUAGAAGUUUAAACAGACCACUGUGAACUGUUGCGUUUCUGUCCUCCCACAGCUAACUGGCUGGAUACAUGGACACAAAUGGACAUAUCUGUGAUAAGCAGCCGGAUGUGGACCAUGAUAGUUGAGAAGAACAUAGACUAAUACCCAUAUUGAAGCAUACUGGACUGGCGUAUGGAACGCCCAUGAGUCCGAAUGGUAGACACAUAGACCUUGAAGCAGACUUGUUGUUCCGGAGCCGGAGUAUACCAUUCAACACAGACGGCAUAGGCCACUAGCCCUGUGUUUAGUGAGGGUUGUGAGAAGUGUGUGCGUGUGUGCGCUGUGUGCGCUGUGUUGUGACGGUACACCGGCCUCUCUGAGACGACUCUACACACAGCUGUAUCUAUCACAUCUGCCGUACGUUCGGGGGCCGCGGGUCACCUGAUCUGUCGAUGCGUAUGUGUGCUUGUUUGUUUACUUGUGCUUGUCUGUGUAUGUGCACGCACUCUGCGUCACUCUCACUCAACGCAAGUUCUGUUCUCGGAUUGUAAGCAACACACACACCACAAGUCAUAGUAAAGGUCUUGUAAACUGAUUCUGGUUAAUGGUUAUUGGAUUUAUCAUGCACUUAUGCUACAGUACCUGGCAAAAAAAUGAUAUUUGACACUGGAGGAGGUUAUAUGGCUUAGUGGUGGAAUCCAUCACUGAUUUUAUUGUCAAGGGGAGGCAAACAAGUGUUGGACAGAGCACAUAGUAUUCCGAUAAUGUGUGUAUAGAUAGAACACAUGAAAUUCAUUAAAAAUAGAAACAUAGAAAUGCAUCUUGAAAUCUAUGCAAAUGAAUCAACAAACUAUUUUAUCAUUUGCUUCUGAGAAUCAUUAAAAUUCUCUGAGGGCUUUGAUUUUUUUUCCAAGGACAAUCUUGUUAAAUAUUGUAGGGUGAUGCGAGAGAAAUGAAAUGAAAGUGCAACGUAGAAUGGUUUCUGCUCUCUGGUCCAGACCAAAAAAACAUGUUGGGAUUUUACACUUGUUUUUCCUCAACUGCUUGGAUACAUUUUUAAACAAAUGUAUCAAUAUCGAAAUAUAAACAUUGGACUGGUUCAUUUACUUAACUGUGCAGGGACAUCUAUACAUCUUCAGAUUGGUUCUAAUGGAUCGACUGCAAAGUUUCAUAUACAUUUUUCCACACAACUCCAAUUAUUUCUGGGAUUUCAUGUGGACAUUUUUACUCUAUGCAGCUUUUAUAUUUUGUAACUUUUGCCGCUUUUUGUAACCAAUAAUGUGACUAUCAUUCGGAGCAACUGCAAUUCAUACACUGCUCAAAAAAAUAAAGGGAACACUUAAACAA